rnacentral:rRNA from 1 species
AGUGAGCGCUGGCGGUAGGCCUAACGCAUGCAAGUCGAACGGCAGCACAGUAAGAGCUUGCUCUUACGGGUGGCGAGUGGCGGACGGGUGAGGAAUACAUCGGAAUCUACUUUUUCGUGGGGGAUAACGUAGGGAAACUUACGCUAAUACCGCAUACGACCUACGGGUGAAAGCAGGGGAUCUUCGGACCUUGCGCGAUUGAAUGAGCCGAUGUCGGAUUAGCUAGUUGGCGGGGUAAAGGCCCACCAAGGCGACGAUCCGUAGCUGGUCUGAGAGGAUGAUCAGCCACACUGGAACUGAGACACGGUCCAGACUCCUACGGGAGGCAGCAGUGGGGAAUAUUGGACAAUGGGCGCAAGCCUGAUCCAGCCAUACCGCGUGGGUGAAGAAGGCCUUCGGGUUGUAAAGCCCUUUUGUUGGGAAAGAAAAGCAGCAGGUUAAUACCCCGCUGUUCUGACGGUACCCAAAGAAUAAGCACCGGCUAACUUCGUG